AUGAUUUCCCUAGUAACGGCGAGUGAAGAGGAAAGAGCUCAAAGUUGGAACCUGUUUGGCUUAGCUAAACCGGAUUGUAAACUGUAGAAGUGUUUUCCAGACACGCCUGGUAAAAAAGUCCUUUGGAACAGGGCAUCAUAGAGGGUGAGAAUCCCGUCUUUGGCCAGAGCUGUUGUCUUUUGUGAUACAUUUUCAAAGAGUCAGGUUGUUUGGGAAUGCAGCCUAAAUUGGGUGGUAAAUCUCACCUAAAGCUAAAUAUUUGCGAGAGACCGAUAGCGAACAAGUACCGUGAGGGAAAGAUGAAAAGAACUUUGAAAGGAGAGUUAAACAGUAUGUGAAAUUGUUAAAAGGGAACCGUUUGGAGCCAGACUGGCUUGACUGUAAUCAAUCUAGGCUUCGGCCUGGAUGCACUUGCGGUUUAUGCCUGCCAACGACAAUUUUUUUUGAGGGAAAAAACUAAUUGGAAUGUGGCCCCCUCUCGGGGGGGUGUUAUAGCCUUUUAGAAAAUACCUUGAAUUGGAUUGAGGAACGCAGUGAAUGCCUUUAGGCAAGAUUGCUGGGCGCUUUCGCUAAUAAAUGCUAGAAUUUCUGCUUCGGGUGGUGCUAGUGUUUAAAGGAGAAACUCGCUUGGUAUAUUUUUUAUUCGCUUAGGUUGUUGGCUUAAUGACUCUAAAUGAC
rnacentral:rRNA from 1 species